AGUGAACGCUGGCGGUAGGCCUAACACAUGCAAGUCGAACGGCCGCACAGUAAGAGCUUGCUCUUACGGGUGGCGAGUGGCGGACGGGUGAGGAAUACAUCGGCAUCUACUUUUUCGUGGGGGAUAACGUAGGGAAACUUACGCUAAUACCGCAUACGACCUACGGGUGAAAGCAGGGGAUCUUCAGACCUUUCGCGAUUGAAUGAGCCGAUGUCGGAUUAGCUAGUUGGCGGGGUAAAGGCCCACCAAGGCGACGAUGCGUAGCUGGUCUGAGAGGAUGAUCGGCCACACUGGAACUGAGACACGGUCCAGACUCCUACGGGAGGCAGCAGUGGGGAAUAUUGGACAAAGGGCGCAAGCCUGAUCCAGCCAUACCGCGUGAGUGAAGAAGGCCUUCGGGUUGUAAAGCCCUGUUGUUGGGAAAGAAAAGCAGCAUGUUAAUACCUCGCUGUUCUGACGGUACCCAAAGAAUAAGCACCGGCUAACUUCGUG
rnacentral:rRNA from 1 species